UCUCUGCACGUGCCACAAAGUGUCAGUUGGUGGAGUUGAGAGAACAAAGUUUGAGAGAGAUGUGGAAACCUUAAGCGGCUCAUCCAUUGCCUCCUCCCAUUGCUGACAGUGACCUCAGCUGUACUUUGCAAGAACAACUCUCCCAGGCACAUCUCAAACUAAUAUUUAAUUAUGAUACUACAGCUCAAAUAAAGUGUCAUAACACUUAUCAAUACAGAAAA
rnacentral:sRNA from 1 species